AGUGAACGCUGGCGGCGUGCCUAAUACAUGCAAGUCGAACGGAGAUUCAGUAGCUUGCUAUUUCAUCUUAGUGGCGCACGGGUGAGUAAUAUAUAGCUAACUUGCCCCUUACUAGGGGACAACAGUUGGAAACGACUGCUCAUACCUUAUACUCCGUAUCUAUAUAAGUAGAUACGGGAAAGUUUUUCGGUAAUGGAUAGGGCGAUAACGUAUCAGCUAGUUGAUAAGGUAUUGGCUUACCAAGGCUAUGACGCGUAACUGGUCUGAGAGGAUGAUCAGUCACACUGGAACGGAGACACGGUCCAGACUCCUACGGGAAGCAGCAGUAGGGAAUAUUGCUCAAUGGGCGAAACUCAGAAGGAGCAACGCAGCGUGGAGGAUUACACUUAGCGAAGCGUAAACGUCUUUUUAUGGAAGAGAAUUAUGACGGUACCCAAGGAAUAAGCACCGGCUAACUCCGUG
rnacentral:rRNA from 1 species